AUAAGUGAAAAUGCAAAGAAAAAGUUCCUGUGGAAUCAUCAUCCUCUGGCUUCCUAAAGGUGCCUGUGUUUUGGUGACUACCUUUGAUGACGUCAGCAUGCUAAUGCACAAGGAAGUAAACAAAGGGCAGCCAUUUUUUUCUUGUAUUAUAUCACUUCAAAAGAGGGAGAUAAAAUGGCUGCCAAGUAGAGGAAAAGACCCUGGUUUUUUUUUUUUUUUUUAAUUGUUAUUUCAGAGUUCUUUGGGUGCUUCUGUGGGUCAGAUCAUGGGAGAGAGGAGGAAAAAAAAAUCCAUAUAUGUGUGAUUUUCUGUCUAGUUAUGAAUAUAAGGAUAUAAGAAAUAAUUUGAUAUAAGACCUGAAGAUACAUGAAAACAAUAUAAAAAUAGCUAAAACAAGUGUCUAGGAAAAUGAGGAAUAUCUGAUAGGAAGACUUUUCACACAAUCUAUUAAAUGUAAACAACCUGAAAUUUUCAUUUAUGUGGAGAAGAGAAAACUAAAGGUAGAUGCCAGAGGCAGAGAGAUCUUGAAACAGGAAGACUGGAUCACGAAGUAGUAAUAGUCCUCUUACUUCUUCCUUAAAUGACCAUGGUAAGUUAUUGUUAAAAGUGAUACCCUAAUUUCCAAUUCUGUAAUGGGGAACAAAUACCUUCUAGUUAGCAAGUCAUGGAAUACAUAGAAAUUCUUCUACAUUUCAACUCCACAAAUUAGAUUUAACCAAGCAUUAGCCAUUGAUAUUAAUAAUAAAGAGCCAUAGGUUAUAAAAUCAUAAUAACUACUUACAAUCAUUUUAAUAAAUUAUUUUAUAACAAAAGCAAGUAGGGCUUUGGGAGAAAACGAUUGUCUUUAUAUAACACAUUUUUAAAAAUGGAAGACAUUUAAGAAAUAAUUCAAAAUCUCAGGAACUUGCCUUGUGAUUAAAACAAAUGAGAAAAUAGACACUUCACCACGACCAACAUUCUGGAAUUCUGUGUCUGCAACAUGGCAAGAGACGCUACAGCAGCGAGUCUCACAUUACACAAUAAACAACGGUGUUUCUGCUUCUGCAACACUUUCAUCAGCCAAGAGUGCCUCAGAUUUGUAACUGACAGAGGAAGACGAGAUCACAGCUUAAAACAGUGAACUGUGUCCAAGAUUAAAGGGUGCUGUAGUUUUAUGAUAUUGAAAGUUGUAAACAAAGAUAGUUCAUCUCUUACUAUUGAUUCUGACUACCUUAGCUUUCCUCUGAAGGCAAAUUGACAUCAUAGAAUCACUUGGCUUCAUCCUUUUUCCUUCAAAAUAGGCAAGGAUUAUUAAAAGGAAUCUAAGAUGUUUGCUGUUAGUAACACAGACAUAGACUAUUGCUAGAAGGAUGAUCUACUGAACAGGAAGACGCACUGUCCUGAGCGCCUAUGUUUCAAGGCUGUCUGUCUAUCUGCCCUUUACCCCAGCACCUCCUGGUGAGGUCGCCCUUGAUAAGGCUGCCCAUCAUUUCCUUCCACUCUAUUAGGGAAGUGAGUAACUUUGCCAUGUCAGCUUAAAAAUCCUGGAGCAAGGCAGUCCAAUUCAACAAACAUUUAUUGGGAAGCUCCCAUGCCUCAAGCUCUGAGACAGUUGCUAGGGAUAUAAAAGUGAAAUAUUAACUACUUGCUUGAAGAUUGGAAUCUCUUUACCUUAAAAAAAACAAACAAACAAGUAAAUAAAAAAAUAAGAAAAUAAGAAAACUGCUGCCUGAGAACGUGAUUGAGUGGGGGUGACACAGGAGAAUUGCUUUAAUUUUAAAAUCUUAUCAUCCCAAAUCUAUACUUCACGUAAAAUCAGUAUAAUGUCUUUAUGCUGAAAUUGUCUGCUAAAAAAAUGAUGUAAUAUAAUUGAGCAGCAUGAGACUAUUUUGUUUGUUUUCUUGUUUUGUUUUGUUUCGAGACAGGGUUUCCUCUGUGUAGUUCUGGCUGUCCUGGAACUCACUCUGUAGACCAGGCUGGCCUUGAACUCAGAAAUCCACCUGCCUCUGCCUCCCAAGUGCUGGGAUUAAAGGCGUGCACCACCAACGCCCGGCUAGCUACUAUUGCUGGUGUAUCUGUGAGGCUGUGAGGUCCGCAAAGAAUGAGAGGUAGGGUCAACGUCAUAGGUAAAGGAGACAGUUUAGCCGUUGACUAGUUCGAUGAAGUACUGCCCACCCACAAAGUAUUGGAAAACAUGGGUAGCAACAGCGAGCUUGACCUGAAAGUGGUGACUGGGCAGAAAAGAAUCUAGUGGACAAAAAGAUGGAAUACUUAAAGCCUGGUGCGAUAAACUGGCCUUUAAUCUUGUUUAUGUCUUAGAAAGCUAAUCGUCCAAUGGCUCAGCUACCGGUCCCAUCCAGACCAGGGAACGUUAAUUAAGAUAGCUUUAUCAUGCUCAGUAAUUUUGCAUGUAUUUUGAUUUGUGCUGCCCUCAGAGUUUCAACUUUGAAAUAGGGUGAAAAUACUUAAUGUCAAAUAAUAUUAACAUGUUUGGAAGGCUGAACACAGCUGUAAAACAACUUACUUUGACUACGGGGCACACAGGAAAGUAUUGACAUUAUUUUCCUAUUUCUGAUUUUGGCAUUGUGGGAGGGGCUGAUGGAGGGGAGAAGAAUAUGUUCCGGUUGGACAAAAAAGAAAAAUGUAAUUUCGAUUAUGAAGGGUAAGGCUUAACAUAAUGUACAGAACUCGGCAAAGGAACGUGGAAUUUUAUUCUUGUAGCUUUUCAUUUUACUUGGACAUUAGGCAAUGAAGGCAGCAGAUGUUAAAUGUAGCAACCCGUGAAUGGACACUAAAGGGCACGGGUUAAAUGGCUGGAAUCGCUCUAUAACUACGACUAUCAUAGCUACAAUACGAACAUAAAUCAUCUGAACUUGGCUGCAAAGAAAUCCUUAUGCAAAGUGACCCAGUUUAGGAAGUGUCCAGAUUUCCUCCCACCCUGCCAUCUCCCCUGACAAAGGCGUUAGAAGACAGCAUUUGUUAAGAGAAAGAACCCAAUGAAGCAAAGCUCCCAAGGAACACAAAGGGUACACUGACGUCAUAGUGUGCAUCAGCCGUGGCCAUAGUAAUCUCGUCUUGUGCUGAACUAGAUGUAUAACACAGAGCAAAAUAAAGUGUGCAGUUAUAUGGUACGACCGAAAAUUAACCACGAGCUAAACCACUUUAGAGUCAAGACUAAGAGAGGUUGUUUGUUUGUUUUUGUUUUCUUUUUCAUUUACACAAAACCAUAAAGACAUGGCCAAUGAAAUAAAUAAAUAUUUUUAUAUGUAUAAUGGCUAUAUAUACAUGCAAACAGCUUUGGUAUCAUAUUGAUAUGAAGUCAUUGAUACAAACAUAUAGGCAGAUACAGAUGCAAUAGCAGUGUCUGUGGUAUGUUCACUAUUGAUGCUUGGAACUGAGUUUUAUACUCUGACAUCUCAAGAGAGAUAAAUGAUGUAAGCAACGAGCUAAGUGGCUCUUCAUCUACUUACAGAAAGAGAUGCAAAGAGUGAGUUACAGGAUGAGGAAGGCAUUUUAAAACUGAAGGAUACAUAAGAACACAAAGACAAGGUGGACAGUGUUAUCCAAACCACCCAGUAGUUACCAAACACUGGUCAACAUGUUUUAUAAUUACUAAUUCACACAAGUCAUUGAAACAAACAUACAAAGGAGUUUUUCAACGCAUGUCUUUUAUAUGGAUGACAUAACUGAGACACGGGCCAGUUAACUAGCGUAGUCAGUAUUCGUCUGAGCAAGUCUGAGGAAGGAUUUAAUCUAGUGUGGCCCUUCUGGGCACAUUUCCCUGUCACAGCUGAUGUGCAUAUGGGGGACACUGAGAAACCCAGUCUGAGGAUGUUCAGCUUGUUGAAAGCAAGCAUGUGUAAUUGAGAUACUUGGAACCUGUCUUAGUCUGCAGCAUUCAGGAGAGUGAGGGGAGCUGGAUUGCAUCCAUUUUAAGAAGCUCUGGAAAUGCAAAGAAUGAAUUGGAAAGAGAACCCGAGAGAGACAGAGAACGAGAGAGAGAGAGAGAGAGAGAGAGAGAGAGAGAGAGAGAGAGAGAGGGAACCCGAGAGACUGUUAAAUUAUUUCAGGAAAAAAAGUUAUAGAGCUCUGAAUGAACAGGUUGGUAGUCUCAGGGUAGAGAAAAGGACUAGGCAGGCAAUGAGCAAAUCGCAGACACUCAAACUGGGGUUGAAGGAGAGCUCUAUAGCCACAGUUUUCUACCCGGGAACCAAAAUGAAUGAUGAUACCAGUAACCAAGGUUAAAAAUACAUGAAGCUUAGACAGAGAGCUAUUCGGUGCUAAAUGUCAGUCAUUUCCACGCAUCAGGCAAGAGGACAGGAUUCUAAAAGAAGGAAGUCGCCAUGUUGGUUCUUCAAUGCACAGGUGUGGCAGGGAGAGCUUGUAAACAAAAAUCUAUUGUUAGUAAUUGGCUCCAUCAUAGCUAACUUUGAGGAGUAUGGACUUUCAGCCAGGCGUUAGCACAUACUUUUAAACCCAGCACUCAGGAGGCAGAGACAAGCAGAUCUCUGUGAUACCGGACAGCCAAGGCUACACAAAGAAACCCUGUCUCUAAAUAAAUAAAUAAAUAAAUAGCCUUUCUCUUCAUAUUAAAGAUUAAGAAUAAACAAAGAAAGGUUGCCUUUCGCUGGGUAGUGGUGGCGCACGCCUUUAAUCCCAGCACUUGGGAGGCAGAGGUAGGCGGGUUUCUGAGUUCGAGGCCAGCCUGGUCUACAAAGUGAGUUCCAGGACAGCCAGGGCUACACAGAGAAACUGUCUCAUAAAAACAAAAAAACAAAGAAAGAAGAAGUAAAUUAGUUUCUCCUUUAGGCAAACAUACUAAUGAGCUUACUUACAUGGCUACUAAAGCUAGUGGCGGGCUACAUGGCAAGGAGUAUGCAUCUUCUUUCUUGUUCCUACAGUCGGGUUCCUAUUUAGUAUUCAUUAUUCAUGUCUAUUUUUAUCAUGGAACGCUAUUACAUGAAACCACAAUCCAAGCAUAUUUGGCUCUUGGUUUUACUUAUGGGGGAAAGAAAUUAUGCAGCCUUCUGAUACUGGGGUGUGACAGAGCUAUAGAUAUGCUAUCAUAUGGAUAAGGAAUAUAUCUGUUCCUUAAUGUUAGACCAUGUAGUAUUUAAUUUAGAAAGUAUGUUUAAACCACAGAAUUUUUUGCAGUUGUAUUAAUUUGAAAACCCAACAAGCCAUUGGAGAAGAGCAAUAAGCUUAUAAACAGACUGAUAAAUUGUGUUCAUUUUAAUAAUGAACACUGAUUAAGAUAUUGGCAAGAGGGGACGCUCAUAUGUUCUUAAUGCAAAUGUAAAGUUGUCCAGCUUCUAGGGUACUCAGUGUAGAAGUCCCUCUAAAACCUAAACAAAGAUCUACUCUAUCCUAUGCCUCUACCACUCCUGAAUAUUUACCUGAAGUCCACAUACUAUAUCACAAAAAUAUUAAUCAUCAUUAGUAUUCACUAUUCACAAAGGCUGAGUUAUGGAACCAGACUAAGUAUCCAAGGGGAAUGAAUGAUCAGAACAUGUAUAUGUACAAUGAAUAUUUUUUGCCAUAAAGCCAAAAUUAUAUUGGUUGUUAGGAAAUGGAUGCAAUUUGAGAUAAUAUAGUGACUGGACUGAAUAAGUCUCAGAAAGAUAAUUAUCACAUGUUUUUAUUCAUUUGUGGUUUCUAGAUUUUUAUAUGGAAACAUAAAGUCACAGAGAGAGGACAUGAAGACAGAAUUGAAAUUUCCUAGGGGAGCAUGUUGUAUUUGAAUAUUAUAAUCUUGGUACCUGUAGCUGACCACCAUGAAUAUUAUUACUGUUUGUUGGCCAUCUUUAUCUCUUUAGAUCUUGGAGAGUUAUCUAUAGAACAUGUAAUAAAAAUAGAUAAGAUAAUAUUAGGCUUUAUAAUUGCUACUGUUUGUGGCCACUCACAGUCUAACAAAUUUAUUACAUUAUAUUUAUACACUAUGUCUUUGGCCUGUGGAAAUCUAUGCAUACAUAUAUCACUCCAAUUAUGAUAGCCUAUAAAUCUUGGAAUCAAGAGACAGUAAGACUUGAUGGGGAAGAAUAAUGUAGUUUAAAUACAAAGAUCUUUGAAUACAUCACAUUUAUAAUAGCUAAAAAAAAUUAGGAGCAUGCAAAUAUUUUUAAAAUAUAUAAUUAAUGCUGUAGAAUAUCAAAUAAGCAUAAAGCCACAGCCGUGAGAAUGAAAGACAAUGAAAAUGUUUAUAGAGUGAAAACUGAUGCUAAAGUUACCAGAAGUACAGUAUGUACAAUUGCAACUAGUGUGCACAGAAGAAAGCUAGAGAGAGACAUAAAAGCAUUAGUGAUUGUGUAUGAGCAGUAAACAAUGUGCACACUGUGUGCACACUGUGGUCCCAGCACAAUCGACUCUCUGUUCCCAUUGGUUCCCAUGUACAGCAGUCUACCAAACACAGAAACACUUAGAAAAUAAUUAAUCUGUCCUGAACUUGGACAGAUUCUUUUUCUUGUACUUUCUCCCUAAAUACUAUUUGCACUACUUUAUACUGUUAGGUAUAAUAAGAAAUCUAGAAAAGGUAGUAUUGGAGGACGCAGACAGGUUCUGUGCCAAUACCACACCAUUUUAUGCAAGGUUCUGCAACAUCCCACCUACUCCUGUCCAAAGGUACUACAAAGCACUUCAUAUUGCUACUCUCCCCUUUCCCUGAGUUUCGAGGGAUGGAAAGGCUGACUGGAAAUGGCUCGCAAAGGACUCAGUUGAAUUUUUCCUUUAGCAUCUUAUGCAAAUGCAUUUCUGUUUCUAGAAAUAUAGCCAGAAAUAUUCAUCUAUGUCAAGGGACCUGCCUGACUUGUAUUCACAGACUUAGAACAGAUCUUGAGACUUGUCCAUGAGAGGUGCCCAAAAAACUGUGGAAUAAGUUCUCUCAGGAACUUCUAUUUUGGAAGAAACAGAAGGUACGCACAAACACGGAGACAAAUGACUUUAGAAUAUAGGCGACUGCUGGUAAAGCUUCAGGUUGUUCGGAGGACAGAAUUGUUUAACACUGACUUCCUGUUUGUGUUUCCUGAGCCUGUCUAAAUAAAACAGAUGAAAAGCUGACAAUAUUGCAAACACUUGUUCUUUCCCAACAACAGGGUUACAAGAAUUGGUGCCGACAAGAUGUCUUGCAGCUAUUCUCCCGGCCUACAGACACUCUGCAGCUGGUAACACGUUUUCAGCCUUGUUAAAAAAAUUUUUUUCCUACGGAUAAAAUUUCUUGAGCCUUCUUCUCAGGCACCAGUCACCAUGACCAAUAUUUCUGUCAACGUCUUUCUGCCUUUAUUUUCUUGAAAACAAGGAAAGGAUGUGUCUUAAGCUGUUCCCCAUCCUAGGAGCUGCCCCUGUGACUUUCCAUGCCCAGUUUCAUACCAAUCUAUUUAGAGUCACUGGGUACUGAAUGGAGAUAUACACGUAUCUUGGGGUUUUCAGGCUUUUCCAAUGAGCCUCCCGAAUUAGUUAACACUUCUGUCAAUAUGUAAGCCACUCUUUAUUUCUGUCAAUGUAAGCAUCUUUUAAGUUUAUAUGCACUUUUAAAGAAAACUUUGUAACUGUUACAUGCAGAAGAGUGAUAUUUCAGAUCCACGUGAAAUCAAUUUCCAAGGAGGUUAGUGGUAUUCAAUAUCACUGAUAUAUUAGUGAAUGAUAAGAAUUUUCUCCUCAAGUGAAUCCUCAAGAGCUGUAUCAGAAAGUAAAAGAGGAAGGAAACUACAGAAUACUCUAUUUUUAUUCAUAUUGUUGAUUCUUUUUUUCUGAAAGCAAAGAACAGAGUGUGCUGUAGAGUAUAUUAAAAACUUCUAGCUCUGGAGAAACACGCCUUGAACAACAGAUCCCUCUGUGGCAAUACUUUUGUAAACAUUGGCAUUAAACUCAGAGAAAAUAAUGUGUAGGAGUGAAUCUGAUCGGAGGGUAUUUGCAGAGAAAGCAAUCUAAAUGAACAGUCUAUGUCAGACUCAAUGAAUAUCAGACUCAAUGAAUAAAGCAGUUAAAUUUGAAACGACUCUUUUAAAGAAUAUCUCAAACACACACGGUUAUGGAAUUGGAAAAGUAAAAGUUAUUAUUAGGGAGGAUUUUUGGAAAGAGAGAGAUACCCACCAUCAUCACUCUAUGAACCCUCUUUUAUACAGUGUUCUACAGAGUUUGUGCUUCCUAACAAAAAAUACUCCACCUCUCAAUGGACUCACAUUACUUCCUGAGGUUUAAACAUUUACUUCUGUCCUUACAUAGUCUUUCGAGGGAGAAGGACCACUUAUAAGUUUAUGGGCUUUAGAGCCAGGAGAAGUAAGGCAGGGGUUCCACACGGCCACUUCCCUAUUGCAACCCAUCUGCCCUCACCUCUUUCAUCUGAGCAGACUGCUAAUAACUGCAAGAAACAAUUAAAGCUUUUUAAAAUACAGAAUUUAACAUGUAGAAAUCCCCGCUAGCAUAUAGCACUUCCUUUCAGAGAGGGAAAUAUGCAAUAUUUACAGGCACAGUUCCUGUACCUAAAUAUACUAUAUGAAAUUGGAUGACAGCUUUAAUUAAAUAAAAGAAUAGUAGUACUGUGUGCUCCUCUAAUGUGAAUUUCAGUGUGACAAACCUCAUAAUGAAUACUAUUGAAAUCAACAGCCUAAAGAUUGAAAACAACGGGGCCAGAGAAUUGGUUCCGCAGCUAAGAGCACUUGUUGCUAGUGCAGAGGGCCAGGAUUCAAUUCCUGGCACCCACAUGGCAGUUCAUAACCUUCUGCAACUCCAGUUCCAGGGAUCUGACACUUUCUUCUGACCUUUACAGACACAAAGCAAGCACGUGGCACAACUACAUAUAUCAUAUAUGUACACAUACACACACACAAUAUAUAUAAUUAUAUUUAAAUAUAUAAUUUUUGCAAUAUUAAAGACACAUGAUUAAAGAAGCAACUGCAAGUACAUAAACAGAAAAAAAAAAGUCUGAUCAACUAAACCCAACAAAGUCGUAUAAAUAUCUGUCCCUGAUUUCUAAAGAACUGAUUUCUGAAUUUCUUUCUUUCUUGCCAAAAGUCUCAAGGCUUCAAAAGACCAAAGCUCCACUGGCUAUCGAAUGCUGUGGAGUUGUCCUUGUGCUUUCUGUAGCCUUGGUGGAUGUCAUCUGCAAUGGGAAGAGACAAUCCCUCAGGAUGAGCCAAGUGGCUUCCAGGAAGACGAAUGCCAUAAAGCUCGCUUGAACUACAGAACAACAUCAUAAGACGAGGCACAGGAAGAGUGAUGGACAGGUACGCAGUACAUGGUGUUCAUUAUGCUGUGGUAGACUUGAUUGCUGAGGGAAGGAAUAGCCACCCACGUCUGAUCACAGAAGCAGCCGCAGACCUCUGCAAUGUGGCUUUAGAGGAAAGGGUGUGUAAUUUUUCUUCUAAAGAAUAAACUUUGUAAUAUGCUAUUUACAUGUUUAUUUCCACUUUGGAAUACUUUAAGGAGAAAGGUCCAUUACUGCACCAUUGAGUUGAGGAAACAUUUUCCAGGUUAAAAUAAUAAGAGAGUUUAUGAGAUCCUGAAGAAAAGGAAUAGAACCUAGUUAAAGACUUUGACCUUGGAUUAGUAUUUAAAAGUAGCUCUCCAUUUUCAAUAGUAUUGCAAACAGUUGUAUCACACUAGGCACGGAACAACAUGAAGAUGAUAUAAAGUCAUCUUCCUAUUUGCUUUUUGUUACAUAUCUUUUAGUUUAGUUAGAGCAUAUAAAUUUCUAUAUAACUAUUAUCUCCCUCACCUUUCUCCCCUACCAUCUCUAACACUUUCUACUGCAAGACCUUGAGGUAUUGAAGAAGAGGUAUAAGAGUUUAUAGACAACCCGCUAAGGCACAGAAAUGAGCCCAGUUAAUAUUGUCUAGUGUGCUGCUACAUAGACACAAAGAACUAAAGCACUAUCAUCAGUCACCUUAGAGGAUCCCAUACAGCAAUCCAUGUGUACAAGCAGAUUAAUGAUGGAGACAGGUAUGCCAAGAUGAAUAUCAUUAUAGGUCAUCCAGGGCCAACUCCUCCGGAGAUUCAAAAGAUUUAUUGGAAAGAAUGAAGGACAUCAAAUAACUGAAUGUGAAAUUAAUUUGCAAAUUCCCCAGAGAUUGAGUAAUAUGGAAAUCAUUGGCACUUUCAGAUGAAUACAUAAUAUUUACAUCCCUAACACAAGCACUGAAGUCAUUUGGGCAAUUGGGGUGAAUAUAUACAUAUUCAUGUAAUUGUGUGUUUGUAUCUUACAAAUUCCAUCAUUUUAUGUGGUAAUGUCCCCUUUUGUUAAAUCAUGAAAUGAUGGAUUUCUUUCUUAGACAGUUUCUACCGUGAAUAUCUACUUUAAAUGGGUAGUUUAAGACAUAAAUCUUUCCUGGAGGCAGAAGAAAUUGCCCAACAGCUAUGCAGAGUCCUUUGGAAAUCUGUAUGCCAAGACGAAGGUAAGCGUGGAACGGCUUAUUCAGAGUCCUUUAGGCACUUAACUCAGUAACACGGGCUGGCGAUAUCUUUAUAUGUGAUUGUAGACACCAAUUGGAGGUUUGGUAAGUGAGCAAUGGAAUCCCAGGGGCCAUGCAGCUCUUACUUAAGAAUGAAUUCUAUGCAGUCCAAAGGAAAUAAUUUUUUUUUCUUGCCUCCUGUUCUGCACCAGGUUUUGUGUUCCCCUCCAAAGUUUGCAGCUCUCCAUGAAUCAAUCUUUUUAUCUUGUCCACGCUUUUUAAAGAGAAUCUGCACUAACUUUAUAUUUCCAUAUUACCUUUUCCCUGAACUUCUAAAUCCAUUCAUACUGAAAACAAAAUGGUCAAUUUUAAUAAGAAUUAUUAACUCUCUCUGACUAUAUUGGCCCCACCUAGUGAACCGAAAAUUAACUAAACAAGAAGACAGCUUAUAUUUGCUUCCUACCUCCAAACAUAACAUCAAACUUGAAGAAAUGUGGAUCUAGAAAGUAAGAGAAGGAACUGCAAGGCCCUACGGGCAGAGGUUUCUAGGAAUGCACUUAUAAUAGAGUUUCACCUGGGAUUCAAUUAAAUAUUUAGUGGAAGUGGCUGAAAGAAAGUCCACAUGCUGAAAGAACCUUGUGGAAAGGUCCGAGUGGAAAGGCAUGGAUGAAUAGGACAGUGUUUGUCCUCUAGGACGAGAUGGUCAAUGUCAGUUCGACACUUCAAUGUAAGUGGGAGGUGGGGGAGGGGCACUUCUCCUUCAGCACUUACAAACCUGCUUGUGUUUGUACAAUCUUAUCAGCCCUUUCUCUGGCUUCUGCCUUCCUCAGUCGAAACGUCUUUUCUUUGUAAUUGAAGGCUAAUCUUCCUUCGCACACCUUGGAUACCACUUUCCCCCUGUUUCCUAGAACUUCCCUUCCUCCCCUAUUGCAGCAAUUUUAUUAUAAACCAGGGGUCACCGAGUCUUUCCUGUCAUCAGCCAGGUAGUGAAAAGUAGGCGUUUACAAGGCAUAUGGUAGGAGUUGUGGCUACCUAGCUCUGUGGUAAUAUCAAAGUAGCUAUGUGUAAACAAAUGUACAAAUAUGCUGGUGGCCAGCUUCUAGUGAACCUUCAUGUGUACAUGAUAAAAUUUGAAUUUCAUCAAAAUUUCAUUUGUUGUUCUAAAAAUCAUUUGGAAGAUGAAGCCAUUUCAUUUUGUCUAAUGGCCACACAAAAGCACACAGUGGACCCUGUUCCUGCCACUCACCAGAUGUGCUGCCCCUUGCUUUAAAGGAUUGCCACAUAACCAUAUGGUCAACCUUUCCUCUUCUGUUCUUUCUUAGUCUACAAUCACCCAAGACAUAUAGUAACAUUUAACAAUGACGCUGAGUACUGCCGGGAAGAUGAUGCUAAUUAGUGAGAAUAGACAAACCAGGCAAUCUGAUGGAGCUGUCACUGGAAGCAGCCAGGGGACCGUAUCUGUGUAUCCACAUGUUGGCCUCUCAUCUUAUUGGAAGAGAAAACAAAGCUCUCCUCACACCCUCAUCUCAGCAUGGCUCCUCUUCUCUGCUCCUCAUAUACCACAGUUCUGAGAAUUGUCAUUUUCUGUCUGCUAUGCAUUUUACCUUGAGUCCAACACAAUUCCUUUAGAAUUGGCAUUUCCUGAAUGCAUACCGUCUCUCUUUACCAGUUCUGAAGACCUGGUCUUUAUUUUCCAUCUCCUUCCUUCAUCCACAUUAAAUUCCCCGAGUUAUCGUCCAUCUCUCCAGCUUUUGGUGUGUGGUUGCCAUGGUGAGUCUGAACUCGCUUUUUCCAGGGAUACUCUUCUUUAUUGAUCUUUAGGUUUGCAGACUCAUUUUACCAGCGUGGGUGAUCCUAAGGCAUCUCAUGUAAGUGUUGGAAACAGUGACCUGAAAUCAUCCCCAUCAGAUGGCUGUGUGUGGCACCCCAUCCUAGCCUGGCAAGCUCACCCUAUUUUCUGAUCCUAAGAUACUGGCGGCCAUCCUCAGUGGUGUCCUGCCCUGGCUCUAGUUUUGCCAACUUACUGUCCAUCAUCACGUUUCCUCCAAAUGUUUCUCACUUGGACACAUCUCAUAGCAUCCCUGGUCUUGUCUUCUUUGUUUAACUGGAUCAUGACCCUGCUUGAGUCCCAGUCCCUCUUUUCACAGUGAGUGAAGAUGGGGAAUCUAAAACUAAUCUAAACCAAAGAGAUACCUUAUUUAGGUAUUUAGGGGCUGGAGAGAUGGCUCAACGGUUAAGAGCAAUGACUGUUCUUCCAAAGGUCCCGAGUUCAAAUCCCAGCAACCACAUGGUGACUCAUAACCAUCAGUAAUGAGAACUGAUGCCCUCUUCUGGUGUGUCUGAAGACAGCUACUGUGUACUUAGAUAUAAUAAUAAAUAAAUCUUUUUUUAAAAGAGAAAAAAGGGAGGGGGGAGAGAUAGAAAGAGAGAGAGAGAGAGAAAGAAAGAAAGAAAGAGAGAGAGAGAGAGAGAGGGAGGGAGGGAGGGAGGGAGGGAGGGAGGGAGGGAGGGAGGGAGGGAGGAAGGAAGAAAGAAAGGUAAUUAGCAAGGUUCUACAGCCGUCUACCAUAUUGCCUCGAUUUCUUGUCUUUGUCUUACUAUUGUAAAACCUAUUCCCCAGUAAUCAAGAACUUAAGAGUAUAGUUUCAUGGUACUACAUAUGCUGCUGCAAUUACCUGAAAAGGCAUUAUCCUCUCUCUGACUAGCAUCUAGCAUCUGCCUCUGAAUUUACGAAAUGAAGAGAAGAGCCUUUCUGUUGUCUGCCAUGUUGUAUUGGAAAAUACCUUUUCUCCCCUUGAAAACUACUCUUAUUUCACCAUUAGCAUGCUAGGUAGGUAGGUUGAGCCCCUUAUGCUCUGAAUCCUGGAGCCCUAUCUGGCAAGUGUGAAUAGUGAAGAUACUUGAUAAACCAAGUUGGGGGGGGGGGGGGCUUGGGAAGGGAAGAAGAUGAACAAUGUGCAUAGAAGUGAAGCUGCCCAUGGUGCAUCCCAGUGGCAUAGCUCAUUGCUGUGCAAUCUGCUUCCAUAUCUAUAAAAAGGAAUUUCCAUUCUUUUACUAAAAAUUAUAUAUAUAUAUAAAUAUAUAUAUAUCAGGCACUCUUUCAGCAGAGCAUUUCUUUGCAUAUUUCCAAAAAGGUAGCAUUCCAAUGGGCACAGAAGAUGGAAUGAAUUAAGUUAAUAAUGAGGUCUUAAAACUAUUGACUGUCAUUUUAUGCCUGCUGGUUGGAGGUGGUGCACGGGGAUAGGGGUGGAGUACAGAGAUACAAGAAACGUUCAGCAAAUCUGAAACAGCAGGAUCAAUACAGAGAAAUCUGAACACCGCCCUGAAGGAAGUGGGUCAGGAGACUAUCUGGAGUGAAGAGUACUUCAGAAAGAAUCAAUAGUAAGUGCAGAAGGCAGGGGAGUUCUCAGGGAGUGAGGAGGAGGAGGACUGACUGCUGAGGAAGAGCUGGUAAGUAGAGGGUGAGAGGCUAAGGGGCUGUGAGCUGUUUGGUGGACAGGAAAGGGACCAGCAGAGGUUGCUGGGACCUGAAGGACUUUAAGCUGAGCGAAACAGCCAGUGGGAAGAGGAGGAAAAGAUCUGAGGAAGGUUAAAGCCCACCACCUCUGUUUUCCUGACACACAGUGGGAGAGCAAGUAAAAAAAAUCAAAAAGUGUUAGGGUGCAAUUACAGUCAUUCAAAGAAAAGGUAAUGGUGGCUUGGGUCACGAUACGAUAAGAUAGUAGUUUGUUCCAUAACAGAAGAAAUAAUGUCAAAAUCAUUUGAUGAUUAGGUGAGCAGGGAUAGAGAAGUAGACACUUCAGAGCCAAGGUCUUGUCAUCUGUACAAGUUUGGAGCAGAGUGAUUAGCGUUUGGUGUUAGAAAAGCUGCCAUGCUUUUCUGAGCAGUAGGUAAAGGCAUACUGGGAUGUAUUCUUAUGUAUUCAUAUGUAUUCUAUGAUGUAUUCAACUGGAGACAUCAAAUACAGAAUUGUAUCCAAGUCAUUAUAUGCAUGGCAUAGUAUUCAUGCCAGGAUUAAACUAAAGAUUAAAAGUUUCCCAUGAAGGGACCAUAUUUAAAGUCUCCAGACUGCAGGAAUCAGCAUGAUGUCAUACGGCCCUUUCCUUUCUUUCCUUUCCUUUCCUUUCCUUUCCUUUCCUUUCCUUUCCUUUCCUUUCCUUUCCUUUCCU